CGCAGGCCGGGACGCCUUCCUCGGAACCAUUAAAACUAUCCGCUGCCGUCGGUGCGGAGUGAACGGCUCCGGGGAGAGAGACUGCGCUGCAUUACAGGUAGAAUGAAGAAAUGAGUGUAACCUUCCACUGCCCUGUGAAAACUACAAGAAGCCAAGAGAGCUGGUCAACAUCUUGAACAGCUGGCCCCAAAUCCCUGAGGAUUCACAGCACAUUCCUGCUUCUUAUGUGAACUUCUAGCAUUUGCAAUAUGGAGAACGUGGGUUCCAGCACUUGGCCAAUGGACAAAGAUGCAAGCUAUUCAUUGUGACAGCUUUCCAUCUGAGAAACAUUGCUUGGCUUUCAUUACAAGUAUUUGGGGAAAACAAUGUGAGCUGGAAAAAAACCACAACCAAAACACCACACCUUAAAAAUACCUUAAGCAUACGGCCCUUAGAUCACAGAGCUGUAGCUAUAUCUUUGUUUUUUACUUCUGCACAAAGGACAGUAAUUCACUCUACAUCAUAAAGGAAAUAAGAUGGUACAGUGGGCCUGGAUUCAAAGCUGUAAAAAAAAAAAUACUGAACAGGAAAUCUGUCUGAAAACUGGGGAGUGGGGAAGUUCAUUAGACCAAAGUCUAAAGAUCUGAUUAUGGUUAAAUAUCCUUUGAAUAAACUAAAAAAAAAAAAAUAAAAAAAUCAUUUAAUGGCAGUAAGGGAAAGCAAAAAACAGAAGACAAGAAAACUGAGCCAUUAAUAAUUUCAUCAGCUCUUGAUAAUACUGUCUGAAGUGAACAGAGUAAAACCUUCUUGAGUAAACUGACAUUUAUUUCACAAGCAUCAAGAACAGAUGUCCAGGACCAGAGGAAAGGCAAACUUCAUUUGCUGUGGAAUCCCACUGUUGACUCCAGGCUUUCAGUUGAGCCAUACAACCUGUCCAGCCUUAGGUGUACAGCUACACUCAGCUAACUGCUUGGUGUUAAGACUCAGCACACGACACAAAACCAAAGCUUUUCUAAAUUAUCAACAGAUUUUUUUUUUUUUUGACAAAAGCAAUAUCUUACUUCUACCAGCAAAAAGCCAAGACUUCCCAGAACAUACUAUGCUAAAGCAACACAUCUGUUUCGCUUCAUCAAUAGCAGAGUCCAGCCAAACUGUAUUAAACAAAUCAUCACUAGUGUAACAUUUCCAUAAUUUCUGUGACAAUUACUUUACUAUAGUAAGCACAUCUCCCCUAAGGCAUAUAAGGCAUCUGAUUUUCUAGUGUUAUUUCAAUCACACUACAUAGAGCUCAUUGAUGAGUGAAAGAAGCAUUUGUCUCCCUGAGAAGAAAUUACUAUCAAAUCUCUUCUCCAUCAUUUACUUCCUGAAUUCCAUUAUCAGAAGAACUAACCCUGUCAGCAUGUAUGGAACAAGACAGCAAACUUAAGAUUCUCUCGUUGUGGAUUUAACACUGAUAAGAAAUUUCAAGAAUCCUAGAGACUAUGCCUGUUCAGACACUUCAGAAGGCACUGGCAGUGUAAGAACAGCACGCAGCUGAACAUCACAGUGUUCAUAGGCUACUUUAUCACAUAAUAGAAGCUACAUUGCAGAAUGUCUUUCAAGACCUGAGGGUUUUGAGAACUUACUGAUUCACAUAUUCCCUACUUGCCAUCUAGGAUGAGUUGCCUUUAUAGCCUGUGAUUUUUUUGGUACUGGAAAAUGGAGUGCUACCAGCCCAUAACAUAGCCAAGGAAGCAAUCAAGCAGUGGUACUCCAUCUUCCAGAAAACAGGCUGUUAUUGUGCUUCCUGUGCCCCACACAGGCACAGUGUUAGUUACAGCUUAUGCAACUUAUAACACAACAACUAAGUGAUAAAGCUGAAAAGACCUUCACAGAAAGGUAGUUCUCCUAAUAUGCCAAUGAACCUUGCUACCAAGUAAUCUACUACCAUACACUCAGUACGUGCAUCUUCUCUCCCAUCCCCCAAAUCAGCAGAAUCAGAUCAUUUUCUCCUUUUAUUCUUCCUCAAGGCCUGCGAGAAGCCUGCUUCUUACAAGUUCAGAGUGGCUCUUCCCAUUUAUUAUCCAUUUAUUAUUAUUGCACUUCUCAAUUUUUCCUCAUGCAGCAGCAUGAAAUUAUCUCUUCCAAGGAAGAAAGGAAAAAACAACUGAGUAGAUUUUACUCUGAAGUUCAUAUUGAAUGUGAAGCUGUGUCUUAAACUACUUAUUCUUCUGAAUUCCAUAAAAUAAAGCUUGCUGAAUAAUACUACUAACACAGUAAUAUCUACUAACUGAAAAAUUAGUCCCAUAUUGCAAAGCUUCCCUCAACAAACACAAAAGCCCCUAAGACACCUGGAAACUACACUGGCCCUAAGGAGAGGAAAGAAAAAAAAAGGUGUUGGAAACAUUGAUAAAUGUUCAGCUUCAUCCAAUGGAUAAACUCUUUCUACCAUUUCCCUUGGAGAGGUCUCUGGAAGUGGCUGAUCCUGGUAAUACUCCUCAGAAAUAAGUAUUAAUGCAUCUUAUUUUAAAUCUUGCUUUUAAUGAAUGUUAACUGCCACUGAUUAGUGAGGCACAAUUGCCAUCCUAUAUCUCUAUGAAGUAAAGCAGAGAGACAAAAAGAAUUCCAAUACAGAGAGUGUUAUGUCAUUUUACUUCUUACUUCAGAAGAUUAUUAAACCUUACAGAGAACAAGCUGCAAUAUGCAUAAUUCCACAGAGGAAUAAACUAAGUAGCUUACAGCAAAAGCAUUAACCUAGUCCAAUAUUUUGAUAUUACUCUUGACUCACAGUCAAGAUCUCUUUGAAAGACUUAAUUUCACAGCAGCUGCUCUACAUACAAAAGGUGUAUAUUCUACAUAAUUCUAAAAGACUUAAAUGCCAGAAUUUCUUCUCGUCAAUAGAAGUUGAUUGGAUUAAACAGCCCAGGACUUUUAACAAUGAAAUGCAACUUUCACAUAAAAUCUACGUCACUAAGGUAAAAGCAUUGGGAAGAAUGCCAUGAGAAAUGUAAAAGCUUCUACAGACAGAGAUACUCGGAAGUGGACUAUAUUUACUACAUAUUAUUGUCUCUUACUAUAAUGCAAUAGUGCUUUAAUUCUAAGUUCAAUAUUCUUAGUUUUCCUCUCAAGUUAACAGUUUAAAAUAAAACAGCUGUCCCAAAGGUUUCUUCUGAUCAAUGGAUAAUUAGACAAACUAAGCCAUGAAGCUCAAAUGAAACCUACCGUAGAGUUGAGACAAUAUUAAAAAGUUCACUGUUAUACUGCCUGAUACCCCAGCAGAAAACAGCCAGCUUUAGAACUGCCUCCCAUGUUUUCUUUUUGCAAAACAGAACAAAACAAAAAACUGGCAUCAAGCAUUGUAGAAAAAGCUGAAUAAAAGCUGCUGGGUAACAGGAGCCAUUUGUUUGGAGAACUAUGACUUCUGAAAGCUUGACAUGCUUAUGCACUGUGAUUAAUUUUAUUUUUAUUUAAGUUAAAAAAGCAUUUCUUGAAAGUGUACACAGUGUAUAGUUAACUGUUAUGAAUUUUCUAAGUAUAUAUGUGCUUUCUGGAAGUUUGGUACACCACCUUGAAUAAUGAUUGUUAAAUUCAGCUUUUACUUAUGUGAUUGCACAUGGAAAACAUAUUCAGUUUGUAAGUAUGAACAUGUUGCUAUCCAGUUAUUAUUUGAAAGUUACGUCACAUAGAGGUGCUCUUGAAAGACAGAUGAGAAAAA